UACGUAGGUGGCAAGCGUUGUCCGGAAUUAUUGGGCGUAAAGAGCUCGUAGGUGGUUCGGCAAGUCAGUUGUGAAAUCUCCGCGCUCAACGCGGAGGGGUCAGCUGAAACUGCUGUGACUUGAGUCUGGUAGGGGAGUGUGGAAUUCCCGGUGUAGCGGUGAAAUGCGCAGAUAUCGGGAGGAACACCAGUGGCGAAGGCGGCACUCUGGGCCAGUACUGACACUGAGGAGCGAAAGCGUGGGGAGCUAACAGG
rnacentral:rRNA from 1 species